rnacentral:lncRNA from 1 species
GCCAUCUUAAAUUUCUUACUAUUGAUGAAUAGAUUGUAUUGCAUAAUCUGGUUUGCGGAAUUGCUAUCUUAUAUUUCUUAGUACUAUUGUUGGAAACAUUUACAAUUAAGAUUGUAGCUCGCCUUCUUUCCGGUGAUCAAGUAAUAGGCUGUUUACUGGUCUCCUGGGAUUCACAGAAGUGGAUUGCAGACAGCCGGAUCAAAGACAGACUCGUCAGACGGCAAAGGAGAAAAAUG